AAAUCUAUUUAUUCAAAACAUCAGCACAGUCACAAACUUUGAAUCAAAGGACGCUGGGGAACAUCUGGACAGGUGUGUGUGUUUCAGGUGUGUGUGUUUCAGGUGUGUGUGUGUGUUUCAGGUGUGUGUGUAUGUUUCAGGUGUGUAUGUUUUAGGUGUGUGUGUAUGUUUCAGGUGUGUGUGUGUUUCAGGUGUGACACACACUAUCACAAACACAAUAUCUCACACACACACACCCUUAUAGGAGAAAGGUGACACCCAUCAGCUCAGUGUGUCCUCGUCUCUGAUUGGCUGAAUUUCACCCCUCGGUGUGUUCAUUGCUUAAAAUAUCGACGACCGAACAUCAAAAUAAAAUCUU